rnacentral:rRNA from 1 species
UACGUAGGGUCCGAGCGUUGUCCGGAAUUAUUGGGCGUAAAGGGCUCGUAGGCGGUCUGUUGCGUCGGGCGUGAAAACUUACAGCUUAACUGUGGGCGUGCGGUCGAUACGGGCAUCACUGGAGUUCGGCAGGGGAGACUGGAAUUCCUGGUGUAGCGGUGAAAUGCGCAGAUAUCAGGAGGAACACCAGUGGCGAAGGCGGUUACCUGGAGCUUUGCUGACGCUGAUGCGCGAAAGCGUGGGGAGCGAUCCGG